GGUUCUCCCCGAAAUAGUUUUAGGACUAGCCUCAAGUUAGAUACCUGGAGGUAAAGCACUGAAUAGCCUAGCGGCCGAGAGGUUAGCGAAGCUUAUCAAACUCAGAAUGCCAGAGUAUUGAUGCUUGGGAGUCAGACAGUGUCAGAUAAAUGUCAUUGUCAAAAGGGAAACAGCCCAGAUCUACAGCUAAGGUCCCAAAGUCAGGUUAAGUGGAAAACGAUGUGAAGAUACGCAGACAACCAGGAUGUUGGCUCAGAAGCAGCCACUCAUUCAAAGAGUGCGUAAUAGCUCACUGGUCGAGCGUCUUUGCGCGGAGAAUUUAACGGGGCUAAACCUGACACCGAAGCUUAGGCAAUCCAGUAAUGGAUUGGGUAGGGGAGCGUUGUAUACGCGGAGAAACAGUAGCGUAAGCGGCUGUGGAGUGUAUAGAAGUGAGAAUGCCGGAAUGAGUAGCGCGAAUGCAGUGAGAAUCUGCAUGGCCGAAAGCCUCAGGUUUUUGGAGGAAGGUUCGUCCGCUCCAAGUUAGUCGGGAGCUAAGGUGAGGCCUAACGGCGUAGCCGAUGCACAGACGGUAGAGAUUCCGUCACCACCAAAAGAGUUAAGCACAGGGACACAUUUGAAGUCUCAGAGCCGGGUGUUGGUUCCGGUAGAGAUCGAGGGAAAUUAGUACCGAAGUCUGAGAUGGAAGAUGGCGAGAAAAGCUGUGUGUAUUUCUGAGGUGCCCGUACCGCAAACCGACACAGGUAGGUAGGAAGAAGAUUCUAAGGCCAACGGGAGAAGGGUUGUUAAGGAACUCGGCAAAUUGACCCCGUAACUUCGGGAGAAGGGGUGCUCCAGAGAUGGAGCCGCAGAGAAUCGGCCCAAGCAACUGUUUACCAAAAACACAGGUUUGUGCUAAAUCGAAAGAUGACGUAUACGAGCUGACGCCUGCCCGGUGCUGGAAGGUUAAGAGGAGAUGUGCAAGCAUUGAAUCGAAGCCCCAGUGAACGGCGGCCGUAACUAUAACGGUCCUAAGGUAGCGAAAUUCCUUGUCAGGUAAGUUCUGACCCGCACGAAUGGCGUAAUGAUCUGGGAGCUGUCUCAACUGCCCGCCCGGCGAAAUUGUAGUACCGGUGAAGAUGCCGGUUACCCGCGACAAGACGGAAAGACCCCAUGGAGCUUUACUGUAGCUUAAUAUUGGAUUUCGGCAUUUCAUGUACAGGAUAGGUGGGAGACUAGGAAACAUAGGCGUCAGCUUAUGUGGAGUCGUCCUUGGGAUACCACUCUUGGAGUGCUGAAAUUCUAACCUGCAGCCCUGAAUCGGGUUGGGGGACAUUGUUAGGUGGGCAGUUUGACUGGGGCGGUCGCCUCCUAAAAAGUAACGGAGGCGUUCAAAGGUUCGCUCAGCUUGAACGGAAAUCAAGCAAAAGAGUGCAAACGCAGAAGCGAGCCUAACUGCGAGACUGACGGGUCGAGCAGUAACGAAAGUUGGAGUUAGUGAUCCGGUGGUAUGUGAGUGGAAAUGCCAUCGCUCAACGGAUAAAAGUUACCCUGGGGAUAACAGGCUGAUCUCCCCCAAGAGUCCACAUCGACGGGGAGGUUUGGCACCUCGAUGUCGGCUCAUCGCAUCCUGGGGCUGUAUUCGGUCCCAAGGGUUUGGCUGUUCGCCAAUUAAAGCGGUACGCGAGCUGGGUUCAGAACGUCGUGAGACAGUUCGGUCCCUAU
rnacentral:rRNA from 1 species